GUCUAGCAAACACAAACUCCACAAAAAUCACAGUGCUGGAAAAUUAAGCAAGUACUUGUUGACAGGUUAGCUAGUUUGCCGCUAUUAUUUGAAGGGUGUUCAACUCAGUAGCCUCUGUGAGUUUCUUUAGAGAACUGAAAAGACGGCAGGUAUGGCGGAGUGCCAUCCAACAUAUAGACCCAGUUUGUAAGCAAUUCUUUUUCCCAGACAGUGGCAAUAUUUGACACAGUUUUCAGUUCCUUGGUCAUCAUUUAAUAGCUGCUGCAUUGGCAAGCAAUUCGUUUUCCUGGACACUUUCCACAAAUUUUGACUUUGUUAAAGCCUGUUUAGUAUUCCAUUCUAAGUAUGCACUUGGCAUAUUGGUAGGGAAAUGUCAAAUUAGCUUGGAUCAUCCCUGCAACCCGAAGCUUGAUAUUGAAACUUGAAACCUAUCUAUUUCUCAAGAUCUGAAAGUUAAUCAAAGUGAUAAUAAGGAAAGUGCGUCAUCUAAAUUGAAACAGAGGGAGUAAUACUUUCAUGAUGGUAGGCUUGAUGAUUUUGAAGGUCAUAGCUUAUACCGACUUGGAAAAGAGGCGUGGAUCCUGUUGACCUGACCUGUUACUGCUGAGGAUUGAUAUGAAGGGUUGUAAAUGGAGAUCUUCUCAAUCAACAAAGUUUCAGCCAGACUUAUCUUCCACUGCUACAUUUCUAGUGCAGAACUCCAAGAUGAAUUCUUCGGAUUCAUACUACAGGGGAAGAAAAACUUUGGUUUUAUCAUGUUUGUAGCCAUAUGUGGCAUUACGCAACUAAUGUCAUCCGUUCAGUCUGAAUCAGUUGACACCCUAAAGCAAAGAGGGAAUUACUUAGAUUAGCAGUUUUUCAGUUCAGCUGCAUCUAGAUGGGGGAAAACAAUCAAGAAACCUUUCAGGUUAACGGAGAUGACAUCUUCCGUCUACUGAUCGGUUUGACAGCUACUUCUGCUGCGGUAAUAAUCACUUAGUUGAUCAGGGAUCUUUUGGAAUACAUAACAAAGGGUGGCUCAAGCCCGAAUAUCUGGAAGCUUGGAAGUAGGUGGUUAGACCUGUUUUUGUUCGAAUGAGUAUAUCAACGAGGCUGUCAUGCAGAUUGCAGUAGUGAAGCAGGUUUUCCAUCGAUUAGUCAAGCAAAGCUAACCAAAGUGAAGGUAUUCAUUCAAGCAGUAAUGGCAUACCGAUAAAAAAAGAUCGGGGGCAUCAAGAUUUGGGAUUUGAGAAACACAUAAUAUUAUCUUGGAUGUAACUAUGAUUUAAGGUUACACUCUGAAGUUCCCUGUAGUGAUGAAGUUACUUUGGUUCAUCACUAUUCUCUUGAAGAAAUAUAAGAGGGUGAGAGAGAACAGAGUUGUCUCCUGCAUGCCUUUUAACUUGAGAAUUACGUUGAUGCAUCAAUUUUUCCAAUGCAAAUAUUAAUAGAACAAAACUAGGUAUUGGUUCUAUAACCAGGAUACGAGUUGUAUAACUUGUGUUCACAAUCCUACUUUCAUUUUGGCCUUACGGUUUCAGAUAUCUUUUCUAUUCAAUCGGAUUCUCGAUUAUGAUAAAAACUGUUCUUAGU